rnacentral:rRNA from 1 species
GAUGAACGCUAGCGGGAGGCCUAACACAUGCAAGCCGAGCGGUAUUUCUUCUUCGGAAGAGAGAGAGCGGCGUACGGGUGCGGAACACGUGUGCAACCUGCCUUUAUCUAGAGGAUAGCCUUUCGAAAGGAAGAUUAAUAUUCUAUAAUAUAUUAAUUGGCAUCAAUUGAUAUUGAAAACUCCGGUGGAUAGAGAUGGGCGCGCGCAAGAUUAGCUAGUUGGUGAGGUAACGGCUCACCAAGGCAAUGAUCUUUAGGGGGCCUGAGAGGGUGAUCCCCCAAACUGGUACUGAGACACGGACCAGACUCCUACGGGAGGCAGCAGUGAGGAAUAUUGGUCAAUGGGUGCAAGCCUGAACCAGCCAUCCCGCGUGAAGGAUUAAGGUCCUAUGGAUUGUAAACUUCUUUUGUAUAGGGAUAAACCUACCCUCGUGAGGGUAGCUGAAGGUACUAUACGAAUAAGCACCGGCUAACUCCGUGCCAGCCGCCGCUGUAAAAC